GAUGAACGCUGGCGGCGUGCCUAAUACAUGCAAGUCGAGCGAACAGACGAGGAGCUUGCUCCUCUGACGUUAGCGGCGGACGGGUGAGUAACACGUGGAUAACCUACCUAUAAGACUGGGAUAACUUCGGGAAACCGGAGCUAAUACCGGAUAAUAUAUUGAACCGCAUGGUUCAAUAGUGAAAGACGGUUUUGCUGUCACUUAUAGAUGGAUCCGCGCCGCAUUAGCUAGUUGGUAAGGUAACGGCUUACCAAGGCAACGAUGCGUAGCCGACCUGAGAGAGUGAUCGGCCACACUGGAUCUGAGACACGGACCAGACUCCUACUGGAGGAAGCAGUAGGGAAUCUUCCGCAAGGGGCGAGAGCUUGACGGAGCAACGCCGCGUGAGUGAUGAAGGUCUUCGGAUCGUAAAACUCUGUUAUUAGGGGAGAACAAAUGUGUAAGUAACUAUGCACGUCUUGACGGUACCUAGACAGAAAGCAACGGCUAACUACGUG
rnacentral:rRNA from 1 species